rnacentral:misc_RNA from 1 species
GAUGAAGAACGUAGUGAAAUGCGAUAAGUAGUGUGAAUUGCAGAAUUCAGUGAAUCAUCGAAUCUUUGAACGCACAUUGCGCCCCUCGGUAUUCCGUGGGGCACGCCUGUUCGAGCGUCAUUUACACCCUCAAGCGCAGCUUGGUGUUGGGCGUCUGUCCCGCUCUCCGUAGCGCGGACUCGCCUCAAAGUCAUUGGCGGCGGUCGUGCCGGCUCCUCGCGCAGCACAUUUGCGCUUCUCGGAGGCCCGGCGGAUCGGCAUCCAGCAAGCUACUUUUUAUGACUUGACCUCGGAUCAGGUGAGGAUACCCGCUGAACUUAAGCAUAUCAAAAGCGGAGGA